rnacentral:tRNA from 3 species
GCCCGAGUGGUGGAACGGCAGACACGACGGUCUCAAAAACCGUUGCCGAAAGGUGUGCGAGUUCGAAUCUCGCCUCGGGCACCA